GACGAACGCUGGCGGCGUGCUUAACACAUGCAAGUCGAACGGAAAGGCCCUGCUUUUGUGGGGUGCUCGAGUGGCGAACGGGUGAGUAACACGUGAGUAACCUGCCCUUGACUUUGGGAUAACUGCAGGAAACUGGGGCUAAUACCGGAUAGGAGCUCCUGCUGCAUGGUGGGGGUUGGAAAGUUUCGGCGGUUGGGGAUGGACUCGCGGCUUAUCAGCUUGUUGGUGGGGUAGUGGCUUACCAAGGCUUUGACGGGUAGCCGGCCUGAGAGGGUGACCGGCAACAUUGGGACUGAGAUACGGCCCAGACUCCUACGGGAGGCAGCAGUGGGGAAUAUUGCACAAUGGGCGGAAGCCUGAUGCAGCAACGCCGCGUGCGGGAUGACGGCCUUCGGGUUGUAAACCGCUUUCGCCUGUGACGAAGCGUGAGUGACGGUAAUGGGUAAAGAAGCACCGGCUAACUACGUG
rnacentral:rRNA from 1 species